rnacentral:tRNA from 1 species
GCCGCUAUGGUGAAAUUGGUAGACACGCUGCUCU